rnacentral:rRNA from 1 species
ACACAUGCAGUCGAACGGUAACAGGGACUUCGGUCCGCUGACGAGUGGCGCACGGGUGAGUAACGCGUGGGUUACCUGCCCAUAAGUGGGGAACAACUUGGAGAAAUCCAAGCUAAUACCGCAUAAUACCUUCGGGUUAAAGAGGGGGAUCUUCGGACCUCUCGCUUAUGGAUGGUCCCGCGUCUGAUUAGCUAGUUGGUAGGGUAAUGGCCUACCAAGGCAAUGAUCAGUAGCUGGUCUGAGAGGAUGAUCAGUCACACUGGAACUGAGACACGGUCCAGACUCCUACGGGAGGCAGCAGUGGGGAAUUUUGCACAAUGGGCGAAAGCCUGAUGCAGCGACGCCGCGUGCGGGAAGAAGGCCUUCGGGUUGUAAACCGCUUUCAACAGGGAAGAAGGAAUGAGAGCUAAUACCUCUCUGCCUUGACGGUACCUGUAGAAGAAGCACCGGCUAAUUUCGUGCCAGCAGCCGCGGUAAUACGAAAGGUGCAAGCGUUGUUCGGAUUUACUGGGCGUAAAGAGAUCGUAGGUGGCUUGUUAAGUCGGAUGUGAAAUCCCGGGGCUCAACCCCGGAACUGCAUCCGAUACUGGCAGGCUUGAGUUUGGGAGGGGUAAGCGGAAUUCCGUGUGUAGCAGUGAAAUGCGUAGAUAUACGGAGGAACACCUGAGGCGAAAGCGGCUUACUGGACCAAUACUGACACUGAGGAUCGAAAGCGUGGGUAGCAAACAGGAUUAGAUACCCUGGUAGUCCACGCCCUAAACGAUGUCAACUAGCCGUUGCGGGUAUCGACCCCUGCAGUGGCGCAGCUACGCGAUAAGU